rnacentral:misc_RNA from 1 species
AGCAGCCGCGGUAAUUCCAGCUCCAAUAGCGUAUAUUAAAGUUGUUGCAGUUAAAAAGCUCGUAGUUGAAUUUCGAGAUCAAAUUGUUGGUCGUGCCUUGGUACGCACUGGCAUUAUUGGUUUCUCCCUUCUGACGAACCAUGAUGUCAUUAAUUUGGUGUCUUGGGGAAUCAGGACUGUUACUUUGAAAAAUUAGAGUGUUUAAAGCAGGCUUACGCUUGAAUACAUUAGCAUGGAAUAAUGAAAUAGGACGUUUGAUUCUAUUUUGUUGGUUUCUAGGAUCGACGUAAUGAUUAAUAGGGAUAGUUGGGGGCAUUAGUAUUCAAUUGUCAGAGGUGAAAUUCUUGGAUUUAUUGAAGACUAACUACUGCGAAAGCAUUUGCCAAGGAUGUUUUCAUUAAUCAAGAACGAAAGUUAGGGGAUCGAAGACGAUCAGAUACCGUCGUAGUCUUAACCAUAAACUAUGCCGACUAGGG